UACGGAGGGUGCAAGCGUUAUCCGGAUUCACUGGGUUUAAAGGGUGCGUAGGCGGACAGGUAAGUCAGUGGUGAAAUCUCUGGGCUUAACCCAGAAACUGCCGUUGAUACUAUUUGUCUUGAAUAUCCUGGAGGUAGGCGGAAUAUGUCAUGUAGCGGUGAAAUGACUUAGAUAUGACAUAGAACACCGAUAGCGAAGGCAGCUUACUACAGGAUGAUUGACGCUGAGGCACGAAAGCGUGGGGAGCAAACAGG
rnacentral:rRNA from 1 species